ensembl:lncRNA
GGGCUUCCUCCCACAAAACCCGUAACUACAGACUACUCAAGAGAGAAACACCCAGCAAAUCUAUAUUGAGGGACAUUCAACAAAAUUUGUGAACAGUGCUCCUUAGGACUAUUAAGGUUAUUAAAAAAAAUAGUCUGAGAAAUGAUCACAGCCCAUAGAAGCCUAAGAAAACACGAUGACUAGUCAGAAAAUGACAUCUUCAGUGGAAUUCUGGAGCAGAAAGAAGCUGGCUAGGUUCCACUUAAAAGAACUAAACCAAGCAAAAGCAACAUGGGGUCCGGAAAGCAGUACAUCAAACUCCUAAGGACAGAAAGAGAUGUCUCAGUCAGAGGGCAGAGGGUGGCAGGAGGAGGCCACCAGGAAGAGGACCAUCUGAUAAGAGAAGUCACUUGGAAAAACAAAGGAAAACAAAACAAAAACAAGAUGAACAGAUAAGGAAAAUGUGGGGAAAGAUGUCCAGGUACACACUACAAAACUUUCUAGUGCUACUCUUCUAGUCACAGGGGACCUUGACCACUUAUUAGAAGCAUUGCAAGCCUGGGAUCCAAGCUGAAUAUUCUUUGAACUAGAAUUGUGGAAAGAGGCCCAUUUCUUCCUUGGCUCUAAAACUUUUAGAAUGUAAGCUACAACUCUUCUGAGGUUGAUGUCAACUGAUUUAAGAGAAUGACAUCAAACAAGAGCAGUCAAAAAAUUUAGAGGCAGGUGCAAAAGAGAAAUGGUAAAUGAGUAAACUCAGGAAAGUUACAGAAGAAUGUAACAAAAAGUGAGUGCAUUCUGAUGCCAUUCCUGAUGCCUGUUCUGUCUUUGAUUUCUCCAUAAAAUUCUUCUUUAAAGUUAAAAUGGUUCCACCAACACUGCCAUCCCUAUAACAAAACCACUUUCUACAUCCUGCCAGAUCUGACUUCCAGUAGUUUGUUUUGUUAAACAAAUUUCUAUCUAUGUUCAUAAUUUUUUCUUCUGUUAUCUUUAUCCAGUUUUAGGAUUAGCACAAUGUUGAGUUCCUAAAAUGAGGGGAGAAGUGUUCUUUCUUUUUUCUGCUUUAAUUGUUUCAUAUAAUUUAACAGUUAAAAUGUAUAUGAGCCUGCUGUUGUCAUAUAGGUAGGUUUUCAAGCUCGGAAUAUGCUUUUUUUAAUAGGUGCUAUUCAAAUUUUAUAUUUCUUCCAGAGUUAGCUUCAUUAAUUUGUCUUCCAAGGUACUUCUUAGAAGUUGUCAAAUUUAUUUCAAAAAAGAUUUUUGAAAUAUGGUUUCUAUAUCCUUUUAAAUUCUGUAAAAUCUGUGGUAAUGUCUCCUAGAUCUUGAUAUUGUAAUUUAAAAAAUGUAUAACUGAUAUUGUGUAACAGGAAGAAAAGGUCUAAAGGAACAGGGGAAGUGGGAAGGGUAGGGGAAUGGAAAAAAGGGAAAAGAAAAAAUAUGAGAAAAGGAAAAAAAAAAUGGAAACAAAGUCUUGGCAAAUAGGGAAGGGUGAAGGGGGUGAAGGGAGGGCAAGGGAAGGGGAAAAAAAAAGAAUCAAGAUACAUGACGUAAAGGUACAUGAUCCCAAUGAUGAAUGUAACUGUAUUUUAUACCUAAAAUGUACCAAUAAACUUAAUGGGGAAAAAAAAGUUAAAAUGGUUCCAGGUAGAUUUCAAAUUAUGAUUGAAAUCUGCAGCUAUAAGUCCUGCUGUAGGAAACAGUAAUGAUCUCAAAGGAAGAAAGUCAGUGAUGAGGUUUAAGAUACUGUGACACUUGAUCAGAGGACACACUGAGGAAGAAACUUACAGUUUUCCCUUGUGAAAUAUUGCUACGUCUACAGAAAGGAAAGGGCACUGAAAGGGCAAGCAUGUUUUAAAAACAAUAUAAACUUACUGAGGUGUAACUGAUGCAAAAUAAAUCACCUAUAUUUAAAUGUACAAUUUGAUGAGCUUUGAUGUAUAUUAUGCAUUUGUGAACUCAUCACCAAAAUAAAAAUAAUGAAUGUAUCCAUCUCUCUCACAAAUUUCCUUGUGACCCUUUGUAAUCUCUCCCUCCACAUCCUGACAACCCAACCUACUCCCAAGCCAAAUAGACCUGCUGUCACAGGUAGAAUUAUCUUUUAUGUAUUGUUUUAUUAGUAUUUAUUUGGAGCAUGGAAUUUUUCAGUUAAUUAUUUUGUAAUUAAUUCAUGUUGUUAUGUGUAUUCAUAGUGCUAGCUGUCUUUCUAUUUCUGAGAGUUCUAUUGUGUGGAUACACCACAAUUUUUUUAUUCUUUCCCCUGGUAAAGAACAUUGGAUUAUUUCCAGUUGUGACUAUUAAAAUAAAGUUAUUAUGAACAUUUGUUACACAUUUUUGCAUAUGUAUUCAUUUCUUUUAGGUAUGUAUGUAGUAAUGGGGUCACUGGGUUGUAUGGUCAAUGUUAUGUUUAACGUUCUAAGAAAUUGUUGAACUACUUUAUACUGUUAAUUCCAACUAACAGUGUAUAACAGUUCUAGCUUCUCACCAGCCUCACCCGCAUUUGGUAUUGUCUGUUUUUUAAUUGAGCCUUUCUAAUUCACAUGUGAUUUUGCAUUUAAUUAAAGCUGUUGAACAUUUUUCUUUGCUUAUAUGCCACCUUAUAUCUUCUUUGAUGGAUUGCCUGUUCAAAUAUUUUACCCAUUAAAACAAUUCUUUAAAAACUUUGAAAUAGCUUUUCUUAGGUACAACUUAAAUAUAAAAUUCUCCCAUUACAAAUAUAUGUUGUGUGACCAACACCAUAAUCUAGUUUGACAAUAUUUCUAUCACAUCAAAACAUUCUUUCCAUGUAUAUGCUGUCAGUUCCCACUUUCAUUUCCAGUCCAAGCAAACACUGGUUUGCUUUCUGUUUCCACAGACUUGCUUUUCUAGAAAUUUUGUUUAAGUGGAAUCAUGUAAGUAAUCAUAUAAAUGGUUUUUUGUUUCUUUUAUUUUUUUCCGGUACCGGGAAUUGAACUCAGGACCUUGCACUUGCCAGGCAAUAAGUGGUCUUUUGUAUCUGGCUUCUUUCACUUAUCAUAAUCUUUUUGAAGUUCAGCAAUGCCAUUAUAUGUACCAGUAGUUCAUUCCUUUAUAUUCUUGAGAGGUAUUCAUUUAUAUAUAAUGAUAUGAACAUGUUAUAUUCUAUUUAUUCACCAAUUGAUGGACAUAUAGAUCAUUUUCAGGUUUGUCUUGAGAUAGAGUCUUGCUAUAUAGUUCAGGCUGGCCCUCACUAUGUAGCCUAGGCUGGCCUCAAACUCGAGGGAAUCCUUCUGCCUCAGCCUCCCAAGUGCUGGGAUCAUAGGCAUGUGCCACCACACCUGGCAUGUUUUCAGUUAUUGACUAUUAUGAAUAUUACUACUGUGUGCAUUCAUGCACCUCUUUGUGGAGCACAUAUUUACAUUUCUCUUGGGUACAUCCAUAGGAAUGAAUGGUCAGGU